rnacentral:rRNA from 1 species
UGGGGAAUUUUGGACAAUGGGCGCAAGCCUGAUCCAGCCAUGCCGCGUGAGUGAAGAAGGCCUUCGGGUUGUAAAGCUCUUUCGGACGGGAAGAAAUGGCGGGCUCUAACAUAGCCUGUCGAUGAUGGUACUGUCAGAAUAAGCAUCGGCUAACUUCGUGCCAGCAGCCGCGGUAAUACGAAGGAUGCAAGCGUUAUCCGGAAUUAUUGGGUUUAAAGGGUGCGUAGGCGGACUAAUAAGUCAGUGGUGAAAGCCUGCAGCUUAACUGCAGAAUUGCCAUUGAUACUGGUAGUCUUGAGUACAGUUGAGGUAGGCGGAAUGUGUCAUGUAGCGGUGAAAUGCUUAGAUAUGACACAGAACACCGAUUGCGAAGGCAGCUUGCUAAGCUGUAACUGACGCUGAGGCACGAAAGCGUGGGGAGCAAACA